GUCCUGGUCUGCUAGCGGCCAGGCAACCGGCCCCUCAAGCCGGGAACACGGGUUCGAGUCCCGUCCAGGACG
rnacentral:tRNA from 1 species